rnacentral:rRNA from 1 species
UACGUAGGUGGCAAGCGUUGUCCGGAUUUACUGGGUGUAAAGGGAGCGUAGGCGGCAUACCAAGCCUGAUGUGAAAACCCGGGGCCCAACCCCGGGAGUGCAUUGGGAACUGGCAAGCUAGAGUGUCGGAGAGGCAGGCGGAAUUCCUAGUGUAGCGGUGAAAUGCGUAGAUAUUAGGAGGAACACCAGUGGCGAAGGCGGCCUGCUGGACGAUGACUGACGCUGAGGCUCGAAAGCGGGGGGAGCAAACAGG